CUGGAUACUAUCAAGCAAUCCAGUCGCCUCCCAGAAACGAAGUUGAAAGACCUAAGAGUUAGAUUGUACAACAUGCUAAGACAGAAAAAAUUACCUUAAAACAAUUUCAGGAGUUGGUGGGGCACCUGAAAUUUGCUUGCAAAGUGGUGGCGCCAGGCAGCCCCUUUUUGCAGCAUUUUUGCAAUGCCAUGAAGGGCCUCACAAAGCAGCAUCACAGGAGAAGACUUACAAUAGGGAUCAAGGAGGACAUUAGAGUAUAGAUACGCUUCCUUGAGGAAUUCAAUGGAUUUUCAUUCUGGAGGGAGGACAGAAGGCUGGGCUUAGAAUUACAGGUGGAAACUGAUGCAGCCGGAUCAAUGGGUUAUGGCAUAUAUUACAGCGGGAAAUGGUGUGCAGAAAAGUGGCCAGAUGAAUGGCUAACUUCCAGAGUUACAAUGGACCUCAUGUUUUUGAGCUUUUUCCAACAGUUUGGACGUUAUGGCUGUGGGCAGAUGAGUGGGCUAUCAGAUAGGUUUAGCUGUUAAAUGAAUUAGUUGUUUGUUAGAAUAAAUAUGUCUGUUAAGUUAAAGGAUAAUAUGCUAACGUAACUAAGUCAAGUACAUGUUUAUAUAUAAAGCACCAAAUGUCAAAGCACUGUGAGUUUAUUCUAUUCUGCAUGUUUUAAACAGUAAAAAUUAUUUAAUGUUUUUAAAGAAGACCAAGUUAUCAUUUUAUUUACUUUCAGCUGCUGGCACACAUAUACACACAUGGGAGAAUUUUUACUCUGAGUAUUUUUUUAUUAUAACUCCUGAAACCUCUGUGUGCAAUCUGUCAGUUACAUUUAAUAUAUAUUUUUAUAACCAAACCAACAGACUGAAAGACAACAAGGGCUGCAGAAGGACCAAAUUGACUGAAACAGCCAGUGAGUUUUGCCUCUCGCCAUUGAUGUGCACUGCAUAUGUAUGUGUGAAGCAGCCCUCCUGUUCUCUUUACCUGCAAAUAUAUCUCAUAACUGGAGUAUACAGCCAAAUCUCAGUUCUUCCAGAAAGCUGAAUAUAGCAGGUCCUUUUCUUCUGAAGCUACCGAUGUGACAAACUGCCGUGGUUAUACAUGCUUAAGUUGUAUACCCUUGACAGAAGAACAGUAUAUUCCUUCUAUCUGGGAUGGCCAUCCUCUUCACCAAGUGUGCAGCUGUAGGAGUGAUGCCUCUGGAGCAGUGAAGGAGAAAGGGGACAUCUGCCUAAACAGCCAGAUCAGCUGAAUCAACCCUGGUGCUCGGUGGGUGGCAGCCACCAUAGCCAGAUUGCUCUCACAUAGAAUGAAAAGAACAUUUAAGUUUGCUGACCAAAUAUAGUGCCCUAGGCAGUGAGAUAUCUGUGCCCUCUAUAUUUUUUGCCUAAUUCACCUUUUCCCAAAUUCAGGAAAGCUCCUGGAGGUGAGAGAUCAUGGAGUAUCCUAUCAGGACGGUUUAUGUCCUUGAAUAGUGGAGCUCCUGGCUCCUUUUCUGUUUUCUUUCCAUCUGCAAAGUCAUUUUUUAUUCUGCUCAAGAAGAGAGGGUGCUACGUUUUGUGGCGGCACACUUUCAAUU
ensembl:lncRNA